AGUCUCCUGCAGCGAGCGGUACAACACGCGUGUUGAAUAGCAAGUAGAAAAUCUCAAUAAAACGAAGCGUUCGGGAAUGACUACACGUCGGACGUUUGAAGGAGGAGGGCUAGCGAAUAUGCUUGUUGUAACCCUAACCAACUUUUACAUUAGGUAAAAUAUGAUGAAGCACUUUCCUCUAGUUUGGGUAACUAAUGGAGACUGUUUCUAUUAUUUUUUUUAUUUUUUUAUUUAAAUUGAUUGGUUUAUUUAUUAUAAUCUUCUCUUUUUUCCUCCCGGCAACAUAAAGCUAGUGGUCCGACACUGCCACCUCCUCCUUCUUUGUCUUUUCCCUUUCUCUGUCACUAUAAAUGGAAUAGGUUGCACCGAGCUGGGCAAAUCUAAUUAAUGGUACAACAACAACAACAACAAGAAAGAAGCAGUGUGGCAAAGAGAGUGUGAGGUAGGGGUAAGAAAAGACAAAGCAAUUUAGUACCUUAAGGCAAUGAACCGUUUCAGCUGCCAAUUUGUUUCUCGGCUGACAAACAAACAUGCCUUUCACUUCAAAACAGUCGACACUACCAUUUUCAGCCACACAGCCUCACUAAACUGAUGAAUGUACAUAUAUGCUUUGUAACAAUAGAUUCAGUUCGGCAAAUGCUAAACACAUGCUACAUUAUUUAUCCAGUCAUAGAAUUCAAAGCGCCUUCAUUUUACCUGAGCUGGCAGUGUUAUUGAGAAGCGCUUUGGCUGAUAGUAAAUAGCCCAGAAUAAGAUUCAAAUCGUUUAAUGCCACACAUGAUAUUCAUUGUCAAACAUAAAACAGUUCCUUAACAAACACCGACUGCUGUAGUUUUGCUUUGGGCAGAGUCUGCUUAGUCUACUAACAUGCAAAGCCAUUGACGUACAAACAAUUAGCACUAAUUUGUGGAAUCCUGUGUUUGAACACAAACAAUAGAAUAACAAGUAAAUUGGUUGUACCAUAGUCCCAGGCAUAUCUUCUCACACACUGUUUAACUUUUUUUUUAUCUUUUUAUCUUAUCCUUUGUUUUCAUAAAGCUUAAUAAAGGAACCACUGUGUGUCAUUGCAAACAUGUCAGUGCCAGAUUACUAUAGCAGCAGCUGCCUAUCUCAAAUGAGUAGCCAAGCUUUCCUAAGGUUGGUCACGUCCACCACGACUGGUUCCAGCCAGUCAAGAAGGGAAGGCUGCUGCCAAUGUCGAACUAUCCCACUUUUCCUUGUGGGCCUCCCAACGUAAACAGUGAUAAGAUUAGAAUUGCUCACUGGUCAUCAUUAUUCGCGGGGACUUGAUGAGCGCAAGGAGGGCUGCGUCACUGUGGGAGUGGUCACACGCAAGACUUCGUCCAUCUAUGGAUUUUCAAAAUACAUCCACAAGGAGACAUGGGCGAAUUGUAUUGAUCUUAUGUUUUUCAGACUGUCUCACCACAAAGAGCGAGAGAAGUGUAGCCUGAGCACCAGGUUCGCCAGUUUGAUCCAACGGCCUGCCCACGCCGAUCAAAUAGAAGACAAUCCCACGCUCCUGAGGGUCCCCGAACCCCCCGCGAUUGACCUUUUUCACCAUUGAAUGGAAAGAGCGCAUGAGCAGCAGCAGUUUGAGCACUUCGCCCGCUUGCUCGGACCUGUGUUCCCGGAGAUGUCGCUGGAUGUCGCGGAUCCAAGCCACCCGCUUGACGUACGGGCUGCGGUCGCGUUUGCGCAGCAUC